AUUGAACGCUGGCGGAAUGCUUUACACAUGCAAGUCGAACGGCAGCACGGGAGCUUGCUCCUGGUGGCGAGUGGCGAACGGGUGAGUAACAUAUCGGAACGUACCCAGUCGUGGGGGAUAACUAUCCGAAAGGAUAGCUAAUACCGCAUACGUCCUGAGGGAGAAAGCGGGGGAUCGCAAGACCUCGCGCGAUUGGAGCGGCCGAUAUCGGAUUAGCUAGUUGGUGGGGUAAAAGCUCACCAAGGCGACGAUCCGUAGCGGGUCUGAGAGGACGACCCGCCACACUGGAACUGAGACACGGUCCAGACUCCUACGGGAGGCAGCAGUGGGGGAAUUUUGGACAAUGGGGGCGAACCCUGAUCCAGCAAUGCCGCGUGAGUGAAGAAGGCCUCG
rnacentral:rRNA from 1 species